GUCUUCGUCCUCCACUCUCGCCCACCUCCCACUCUGUUCCAGUAUUCCAGAAUCCCUCCCGCCUCCCACCCAGCGACCUAGCGGCGCCGACGACCCCGUCGAUCGUCGUCGUUCCCAUCGAAUCAGCCCCCAUUGCGACCCUCGCCAGUCGCCCCCAGGCCACCCACUGCGACCCUCGCCCAGUCGCCCCCAAGUUAGAUAGCUUAUUUCCGUCCUCCCGUCGUUCCGCCGCCGUCGAGCUUGUCGCCCCGUAGUAGCCGCGCCGCCUCCGAGCUCCGACAAUAGGUAUGGUUUUUUUUAACAUCGAUUGUUGUAUCUGUUCCGCGCCGCCAGUGAAUUCGGUAAUUUAAUUGGCAUAUGAUUUGUUGUAUACUUGUAUUUGCACAUUCAUGAUUCAACCAUAACUCUAUGUAGAAUUUUUUUUAGGAAAUUAAUUUUGUGACUCAAUAAUAGUGAAACACUGAAACUGAAUAUGGAGCUCUUCAUUCUAGUUCAUGUUUAUGCAUUUCGUUCCUUGUUUUAUACAGAUUUCCUCCACCCAUGGUCCAUUUUCUUCUAUGUAUAAUGUAUGUCAGUAUGUGUUUCAGUGUUUGUUCGUUUUACAAAUUUUAUUCAAAUAGAACAGUAGCAUCAAAAUAAAAAUAAAGCUAAAUACAUCCUUUCAUGGUAUGCAGAAUGUAUUUGAACUAAUACUAUAACAGAGCUUUUUGAUUAGCUGGACUUUAGCUGUAAAUGAUUGGAGCAACUUACAUAUAAAUCUGCCUUCAACUAAGAAUGUCAAUUUUGUGGUUUGAUUCCAUUUCCAUAGAAGCUCAUACACACGGUAUUUGUUUACAAAGUACAGUUGAUACAAAUUCAAUUUCCUUGUUUUUCUAUAACAACAAAUAAAUUUAAUAAGGCAUAAUGGUUGGAACAAGCUCCUUCAUAAUGUUAUUAUCUUCAUUUAGCAUAAUGGCCAAAGAUAUCUUAGCUGUCUCCAUAUCUAGUGUUGCUUUGGAGUGUGCAUGUAGUAUAAGAGGACGUGUUCUAUCACCGUAUAGAAGCUCUUUGGCGGCGGAAAUGGUUGAGGCCUUGAUUUGUUCUGAGGAUUGGUUAAGAUCUACCAAUCUUGAUAAAAAAGAUGAAGAAGGUGUUCUGGAAUAAAAUCAACAGAAGGAGUUUGAAAUGGGUAAUUAUAUUUUAUUCUAAUUAUUUGACAUGUUAUUGCAUUACAUAUAUUGGUUUUUUAUACCUCAAUUUCAAUUUCUUACACUGCUCCAUAGCUAUACUCAUGGUGAUUUGAGGACGUCACAGAGUCAGACGGAUCAAAGUGGAACUUGUGCGGCGGAGUAGCCAUGGACAUCAUUUUAUUAAACUUUCUGAUUUAUUUGAGUAUUUGACAUUUGUUUGUGUAACUUACUUGGUUACUUAAGACGUUCGUUCAAUUUAAAAUUUUAGACUUGGGAGUUGAGAUUUGUGGUUGUUGAUUCUUGAUUUGAUGUUAUAUUAUUUGUUAGUACAGGG
rnacentral:lncRNA from 1 species